GCGGGGGCGGGCGCGCGGGGCCUUGCCGGAGAACCUGACUCUCCGCAGCAGCAGUGGAAGCCGGAGUGACGCGUUGUGUUGAACACCAGUUUUCUGGAGCGCUGUGUGUUCUUAACAGCUGAGCAGUCUGUUUCUCCAAUCAGGUUUCAAAGCCACUUCAACUGCACUGGCCCCUGUGGGUCACUGCUGCACCGCCCUGACCCAUGUGGGUCCCUGAGGAGCGACCUGCCGGGGCCACCUGGCUGGACGAAAAAGACACACCUUGGACUUAAGCCGUGAGAAAAAAACUUCAUCAGUAAGAAGAAUGAAUAAACAGACUAGGUUGAAUCCAUACAAUGGAAUGUUAGCAGACAAUAAAAAGAAAAUGAACUAUUGAUGUCCCCUACUGCACAGCAGAAGCUCUGAAUCGUGUUCCUGAAUGAAAGAAGUCAGAGAUGAAAAGAUGGGCCAGGAGUCCAGUUUCUGGAAGGCCAAGAAUCGAAGUAGCAAGCUGCAGCCGUUUUCCAGACAAGCAGGAUGUGGGGAUGCAGAAGAAUUCAGGACUGGAGGGGCAAACUCCAUGGUGUCAGAGCAGAUCUGAAGUAGAGCUUCUAACGACUCCCAGGAGUGCUGAGUGACCGAAGCCAGGUACCUGCAGGACCUAUUUGUGUUCGUUGAUCUCUCAGAGCAGUUGGAAGUCAUGGUGGUGCUGAGUCCCUGGGUACAUGGAGGAGCAAAGACAUGAACCUUUCCCUGCUCCUGGCAACUGGCUCCAUCCUACUCCCUAUGGGCUUCAUGAACUUGCCUGUGGUUGGGGAUACUUCCUGCCCUUAUGGGCCCCAGAACCCCUAUCUCUUAAAAAGGGAAAUUUCCCUGGACAUCUCUCAGUUGCUGUCCACCCUGUGAAAUGAACCCAGGAAGCUAUGGUUAGGUACCCUAGCCCGGUCUGGCCCAAAUGCAAGUGUUCUGGCGGUGAACACUUAGCAUAGGGUUUGGAGAGUCCCUCUCGGUGAUGUGCUAAAGCAACCUAUAUGGCACCACCUCACCAGGGGGCACCGAGGCAAGCAGGAUUCCCAGAAGUCACAGACCCGAAGAGAGAAAAAGAACCAGUCCCUGGGCUUGACAUGAGACAAAGGAGACCAGAAUGGACACACGGCAGCCACUCUCCUAUCAAGUUUUCCACAUCACCUUCAUCCCCUCAUUUCAGCCAUACCAACAACCCAGCAAGGCAGAGGCAGCAGGCCUCCCAUUUGCCUUACAAUGGAGGGACUAAGCCCAGAGAGGUGUGAGCACCUCACUAGCAUCAUCUAGCAGUGAGUAGGGUAGGCACAAUGGUACCUGGCUCUGAAUGCCUGGUCUAGGUUCUGUCCCUCACAUGGCACUGGGUUAAGAGACAUCCUGAGACAUGCAGGGAUACCCUUGGGAGUUUGGAGGAGCUUCAGGCACCAUGCAUAGCCAAUAAAUCAGAAUAAACAACUAGUCAGGAAAAUCAAAUGCUUGGAUUUUAUUAUUAAAAUAUUUUCAAAGCUGAUGAAAUUGGAAAAUGACGAACCGAGACCUGACUCUAUUGCUCAUCCCCAAGUUAAGAGAGCCAGCUUUCAGCUCACCUGCUGGGCAACUUGACAGAAAGAAUGCACACACACACACACACACACACACACACACUCACACACAUACCUCCCCUCCUAGACCUUCCAAGCAGGGAGUCUCGCCCGAGUAACACAUACCCUUUACUCGCAUUCUUCCCUUGAUUUAUCAGGAGAGAAUGGUCAGAACUUAACAGAAAAAAAAGGACCCAGGCUCUUGGGUUCUGAGAGGGGAUGGGGUGAGGCUGUCUGUCAUGAUGACCUUGACCUUUUCCUUCCUGCACCUCCAGAUUCCCUCUCCCCUUCUUUAAGAGUGGAGGAGGUGGUACCUAGGGGCCAGGACCCUCCAUUUCAGUCUGUACAAACCACUAAUUCCUUCUGUGCCCUUAGGCAAGUCACUCGCCCUGCCUGGUCAAUAAAGUCUCCUUCUUUACUGAAAAA
rnacentral:lncRNA from 1 species